CGCUUAGUCGUGUCCGACUCUUCUCGACCCCAUGGACUGCAGCGUACCAGGCUCCUCUGUCCAUGGGAUUUUCCACGAAAGAGUACUGGAGUGGGGUGCCAUUGCCUUCUCCGGCCUGAGUGUCUAGGCUUGUACUAUAAAUUCACCUAGAGGGAAACUGACUCAAAAUCACAUUACAUGUUGGCUCUGUGAUAAUUAUGGAGAUGAUACAAUAUGUAAAAAUACAUACAGAAACUGAAUAAGCUGGACCCCAAUUGAAGUUCUGAUUAUGAUGGGAAGUUCUCUUCAAAUUUUACAAGUCUUUUGGGAUUAAGUGAAUUAUGCAAGAAGAGACAAAUUGGAAAAACAGAAGACGCAGUGUUUGCCCAAUCAAAAGGGAGCUCUAGGAUGAAGACAAACACCUGGAAUGAAAGAACAAUGAGAAAACUUUGUGCCUGGGCUUAGAAAUUCCAUAAAAGAAGUACAGUCACUUCUCACCUACCACCUGGAAUCACUUUAUUAGUGCCUAAGAAUUUGGAAAAAUCUGAACUUGUGUUGCACUGGUAAUCUCUAAGAUAUACUUUACUAUUUACCUAAAUACUUGACUCUUUUUUCUUGGAUAUUGUUCAUAAGUCUUCCUUAGAUUAUAUGUCCUUUCAGUCCAAGAAUGAUUUUAUUGCUUUUUUUUCUAUACCCUCCCAUUUCUCCAGAGUGUUGCUGAGCAUAUGAAAUAAGUUUUAAAGAUUAUUUACUUUCAGUGGAUCAUAGAAAGGUGCAUGGAAGAAUAUAUAUUUUUCCCCCAUCUUAAAGUGGAGAUAAUGAUAUUCACCCGAAUAAAAAGAAAUUUUAUUUUGACCACAUUGUUUUCCUAAUACAAAGACUUUGGUUUCUUCUGAAACCAGUCUCUGAACAUACCUUUUGGGAUCCAUGAGAAUCUUUUCCUUUAAAAGGAGUCAAUACAUUUCCUGACGUUGAAACCAAUUUAGCUUUUCCUAUGUUCAGGAUAACUUAGCUCACUCUAUAAUUGAUCAGGGCUUCCCUGGUGGCUCAGAUGGUGAAGAAUCUGCCUGCAAUGCGGGAGACCUGGGUUCUAUCCCUGGAUUGGGAAGAUCCCCUGGAGGAGGGCAUGGCACCCCACUCCAGUAUUCUUGCCUGGAGAAUCCCCAUGAACAGAGGAGCCUGGUGGGCUAGAGUUCAUGGGGUUGCAAAGAGCUGGACAUGACUGAGUGACUAAGCACAGGAUAAUCGAUUAAGGUGGAUCUGUGUACACACGCAUCCUACCUGUACAAAAUAUUAUUUUCUGAACCAAUUGAAAGUAAGUGGCAGACUUAAUAUCUAUUUUACCACUAAAUAUUUCAAUGUAUAUUUCCUAAAAAGAACUUUAUCUUAUGUAAAUACUGUAUAAUUAUUAAAAUCAAUGGAUUUUUACAUAGAAUAGUUUAUUUAAUUAUUGAUACAAAACUAUUUUAUAAACAACAGACCUUAUUCAGAUUUUUCCAAAUGUUUUACUAAUGUCAUUUAUAGUAAAAGAAGCAAAAGAGUUUUUUCCUGGUCCAGGAUCUGAUUCAGAAUAACAGGCUGCAUUUAAUUGUUGUGUCUUUUUUGUCUCCUUUAAUCUGGAAUUGCUUGUUAGUUUUGCUUUGUCUUUUAUGACCUUGACCCUUUAUUUUUAAAGGCACAGACCAUUUGUUUUGUAAAAUUGCCCUCAAUUUGGAUUUGUUAAAUUUCAUCUCUAUGAUUCAAUUAAAGUUAUGUAUUUUUGGU